AGCUAAGUGAUUGAUGGAGCUUCCGGAAGUCUUGGCGGCUGUACCAGCGCUAAUGUUCCUCCUUUUCCUGAGGUGGAGUGGGCCGAAGAGGUGGUCAGGUAUUCUAAUCACAGAAUUACUGGAGCAUCAAGAAGUGCCUGCAUGCUUGGAAGGGCUUCCAGGCAGAUGAACACACCUCAGCACCGGGUGGCAUUUUCCCAGGGUGCAACCCGGACCGGCUCUGGGUCACACUGACAAGCCUCUCCGACUCCCCAGGCUGGGUUGGGUGCUCCUCCCUCUCAUCCCACAGCGCUAUGUCUCAUGUCUUCUGGAAAACUUGCCAAUCCCUAGUGACAACAGGGUUAACAAUUUCCAGAGACAGCCCGUACAUAGAAGGAAUGUUUACUGAAAAAAAUGAAGAGGGGUCAGGGCAAGGCGAGGAGCAAGAAGCACCCCCAAGGAAACAGAGAAGACCAGUACAACUGUACCUCUUUGCCAGCUGCACCAUCCGUACCAGGUGGCACGUUCCAGAGCCAUAGCCUCUGUUCUAUUCAUCUCCAGUCUCCUGGGGUGGAAGUGUCCAGCACAGAGACUGCCACACUGCAAGACGAAGGGGCUGGACACACGGAAGAGAGAGGCGGAACCCUGCACCCCCUCAACCUCAGCCCUACUGAGUCUCCAAUGGGGCCACGCUUCUGAGUGCACCUCCCCGUGUCAUCUGUAAUGUGAGGGGGAACCAGGCUUGAUAUGGCAUUCCCAAUCCAGGGC
ensembl:lncRNA PEF1-AS1 PEF1 and COL16A1 antisense RNA 1